rnacentral:rRNA from 1 species
GACGAACGCUGGCGGCGUGCUUAACACAUGCAAGUCGUACGGUGAGGCCCUUUCGGGGGUACACGAGUGGCGAACGGGUGAGUAACACGUGAGUAACCUGCCCACAACUUUGGGAUAACGCUAGGAAACUGGUGCUAAUACUGGAUAUGUGCUCCUGCUGCAUGGUGGGGGUUGGAAAGCUCCGGCGGUUGUGGAUGGACUCGCGGCCUAUCAGCUUGUUGGUGGGGUAGUGGCCUACCAAGGCGGCGACGGGUAGCCGGCCUGAGAGGGUGACCGGCCACAUUGGGACUGAGAUACGGCCCAGACUCCUACGGGAGGCAGCAGUGGGGAAUAUUGCACAAUGGGCGCAAGCCUGAUGCAGCAACGCCGCGUGCGGGAUGACGGCCUUCGGGUUGUAAACCGCUUUCAGCAGGGACGAAGCUUUUUGUGACGGUACCUGCUGAAGAAGCACCGGCUAACUACGUGCCAGCAGCCGCGGUAAUACGUAGGUGGCAAGCGUUAUCCGGAAUUAUUGGGCGUAAAGCGCGCGUAGGCGGUUUUUUAAGUCUGAUGUGAAAGCCCACGGCUCAACCGUGGAGGGUCAUUGGAAACUGGAAAACUUGAGUGCAGAAGAGGAAAGUGGAAUUCCAUGUGUAGCGGUGAAAUGCGCAGAGAUAUGGAGGAACACCAGUGGCGAAGGCGACUUUCUGGUCUGUAACUGACGCUGAUGUGCGAAAGCGUGGGGAUCAAACAGGAUUAGAUACCCUGGUAGUCCACGCCGUAAACGAUGAGUGCUAAGUGUUAGGGGGUUUCCGCCCCUUAGUGCUGCAGCUAACGCAUUAAGCACUCCGCCUGGGGAGUACGACCGCAAGGUUGAAACUCAAAGGAAUUGACGGGGACCCGCACAAGCGGUGGAGCAUGUGGUUUAAUUCGAAGCAACGCGAAGAACCUUACCAAAUCUUGACAUCCUCUGACCCCUCUAGAGAUAGAGUUUUCCCCUUCGGGGGACAGAGUAACAGGUGGUGCAUGGUUGUCGUCAGCUCGUGUCGUGAGAUGUUGGGUUAAGUCCCGCAACGAGCGCAACCCUUAAGCUUAGUUGCCAUCAUUAAGUUGGGCACUCUAAGUUGACUGCCGGUGACAAACCGGAGGAAGGUGGGGAUGACGUCAAAUCAUCAUGCCCCUUAUGAUUUGGGCUACACACGUGCUACAAUGGACAAUACAAAGGGCAGCGAAACCGCGAGGUCAAGCAAAUCCCAUAAAGUUGUUCUCAGUUCGGAUUGUAGUCUGCAACUCGACUAUAUGAAGCUGGAAUCGCUAGUAAUCGUAGAUCAGCAUGCUACGGUGAAUACGUUCCCGGGUCU